UCGGAACUGUAGUCUUGUUUUUCGUAAUCGUUUCCUCCGAUUUUAUUUCUAUAUUCUUGGCUUUCAUAACCACCACAGACAAUCUUUCUGCUGUUGGAAGAUAACUCAAUGACAGCAGAACUUCCGUCUCGAUUUUCUUAGUCUGCAAAUAAAUUAUGCACAUGUUUAAAUGUAUUCAUGUCCGGCUAACUUUAUUUAUAUUGGAUAGCUUUAUCAGUUCUAAACUGUUCUCCUUGGAAGUUAAGUAAGGGGGACUUUUAUUGUCUUAUUGACCAGUAAACUAAACUAACUUUAUUCACACCGGAUAACUCUAUCAGUUCUAAACUGUUCUCCCUAGAGGUCCAGUAAGGGUCAUCUCUUCCUACAGGAGGAAACCUAAACUAAACUAACUUUAUUUAUACUUGAUAGUUUUGUCAGUUCUAAACUGUUCUCCCUAGCGGUCCAGUAAGGGUCAUCUCUUCCUACAGGAGGAAACCUAAACUAAACCUAAACUAUUUAUACUGCAUAACUCUAUCAGUUCUAAACCUAGAGAUGCAGUAUAAGGUUCAUCUCAUAUUGAUCUUGUAAUAAUGCAAGAGGAAACAGGAAUACACAGUUCUAUACUUCGAUCUGCGAUGUUUUAUUUAUUUAUUUAUUUAGCUUUGCCAACUAGGGCAGGGUCACCACAACAGCAUAUGCCAAUUACUGUGGGCCCUUUUUUUUUUUUUUUUACCUAACCCACCCUGUCAACUUUCCCUGUGGGAGGAAACCGGAGUACCCGGGGAAAACCCACGGCGUUCGGCAGAGCGUUGACUUUUACUCUUUUCACAUGGUGACUGGGUUCGAGUCGCACUGAGAAGGUACUUAGUGAGACUCGAACCUGCAGCCUCAGAGGUGAAAGGCAAGUGCGCUAACCACUUGGCCACCGAAGCCCCUUAGCCACUUAGCAGUUUUAAUGCCAACAUUUUGUUUGGAACCGAAGCGAAACACACGUAUUCACUGUGUCCGAAGCAAAUAUGGAGUUUCAACCGUUAUUUGAAACCCAGUGUG